GGCGAGGUACCCAAGCCUGGUCCAAGGGGCUGGUCUUGAAAACCAGUGUGCUUCCGCACUCGCGGGUUCAAAUCCCGUCCUCGCCA
rnacentral:tRNA from 1 species